rnacentral:rRNA from 1 species
AUGCUGUCCGAGGACAAACUCCUUUGUGAGUGUUGGAGGGACAUUGGGCAAGACCCCAAGGUCGGCCCCGAACAAAAGGCAUCAACCUUUUGGCUUCGUGUUCAUCGUGAGUACCAUGAACACAAUAAGUUUGCGAUGUAUCAAAUGCAAAGCAAGCGUGGGUGGGUGUCCCUAUCGAAGUGAUGGAGGGUGAUACAACAAGAGUGCAACAAGUUAUGUGCCACCCUUGAGAGCGUCAAGGCAAGUCCCAUGAGCGGCAUUGGCAUGGAAGAUAUGGUAUACACACUACUAGAAUCAGCUUCUUUGCCGUCUGCCAUGGCAGACGGCAAAGGCAUAGAUCCCGGACGGCAAACUCCUUUGCCGUCAGCCAGCGGACGGCAAACUGUCCGUCUGAACACGUGCCAGCAAAGGCCUUCUUUGCCGUCCGCUUCUUAG